rnacentral:ncRNA from 2 species
AAGUUAUCAAGAAAGGUGGAGGGAAUAGACCCUGUGAAGCCUUAGCAACCCUCAACUUUGAGAAGGUGCUAAAUUCUACCCCGUCCCAAAUUUAAAUUGGGACCUCUUGGCGGCAAAGACCGACCAUUGGGAAGGAUAACG